rnacentral:rRNA from 1 species
AGAGUUUGAUCCUGGCUCAGGAUGAACGCUGUCGGCGUGCUUAACACAUGCAAGUCGAACGAAGCGGUUACAGGGAUUCCCUUCGGGGAGGAACGGUAACUGUCUGAGUGGCGGACGGGUGAGUAACGCGUGGGCAACCUGCCCCAUACCGGGGGAUAACAGCCGGAAACGGCUGCUAAUACCGCAUACGCCCAGGAGGCUGCAUAGCUUCCUGGGGAAAACUCCGGUGGUAUGGGAUGGGCCCGCGUCUGAUUAGCUCGUUGGCGGGGUAACGGCCCACCAAGGCGACGAUCAGUAGCCGGCCUGAGAGGGCGGCCGGCCACAUUGGGACUGAGACACGGCCCAGACUCCUGCGGGAGGCAGCAGUGGGGAAUAUUGCACAAUGGGGGAAACCCUGAUGCAGCGACGCCGCGUGAGCGAUGAAGUAUCUCGGUAUGUAAAGCUCUAUCAGCAGGGAAGAAAGUGACAGUACCUGACUAAGAAGCCCCGGCUAACUACGUGCCAGCAGCCGCGGUAAUACGUAGGGGGCAAGCGUUAUCCGGAUUCACUGGGCGUAAAGGGAGCGCAGGCGGCACGGCAAGUCUGGUGUGAAAACCCGGGGCUCAACCCCGGGACUGCAUUGGAAACUGCCGGGCUGGAGUGUCGGAGGGGUAAGCGGAAUUCCUAGUGUAGCGGUGAAAUGCGUAGAUAUUAGGAGGAACACCAGUGGCGAAGGCGGCUUACUGGACGAUGACUGACGCUGAGGCUCGAAAGCGUGGGGAGCAAACAGGAUUAGAUACCCUGGUAGUCCACGCCGUAAAC